ACGUAGGUGGCGAGCGUUAUCCGGAUUCAUUGGGCGUAAAGAGCUUGUAGGUGGCGUGGUAAGUUGGACGUGAAAACUCCGGGCUUAACUUGGAGAGGCCGUUCAAUACUGCCGAGCUAGAGGGCGUCAGAGGGAAGUGGAAUUCCUGGUGUAGCAGUGAAAUGCGUAGAUAUCAGGAGGAACAUCCGUGGCGAAGGCGGCUUCCUGGGGCGCACCUGACACUGAGAAGCGAAAGCUAGGGGAGCAAACGGGAUUAGAAACCCCGGUAGUCCUAGCUGUAAACGAUGGAUGCUAGGUGUGAGCGGAUCUAACCCCGCUCGUGCCGAAGCUAACGCGUUAAGCAUCCCGCCUGGGAACUACGAGCGCAAGCUUA
rnacentral:rRNA from 1 species